UACAGAGGUCUCAAGCGUUGUUCGGAUUCAUUGGGCGUAAAGGGUGCGUAGGUGGCGGGGUAAGUCAGGUGUGAAAUUUCGGAGCUUAACUCCGAAACUGCAUUUGAUACUGCCUUGCUUGAGGACUGGAGAGGAGACUGGAAUUCACGGUGUAGCAGUGAAAUGCGUAGAUAUCGUGAGGAAGACCAGUGGCGAAGGCGACUUCCUGGCCUGUUCUUGACGCUGAGGCGCGAAAGCUAGGGGAGCAAACAGG
rnacentral:rRNA from 1 species